rnacentral:rRNA from 1 species
GACGAACGCUGGCGGCGUGCUUAACACAUGCAAGUCGAACGGAAAGGCCCUGCUUUUGUGGGGUGCUCGAGUGGCGAACGGGUGAGUAACACGUGAGUAACCUGCCCUUGACUUUGGGAUAACUUCAGGAAACUGGGGCUAAUACCGGAUAGGAGCUCCUGCUGCAUGGUGGGGGUUGGAAAGUUUCGGCGGUUGGGGAUGGACUCGCGGCUUAUCAGCUUGUUGGUGGGGUAGUGGCUUACCAAGGCUUUGACGGGUAGCCGGCCUGAGAGGGUGACCGGCCACAUUGGGACUGAGAUACGGCCCAGACUCCUACGGGAGGCAGCAGUGGGGAAUAUUGCACAAUGGGCGGAAGCCUGAUGCAGCAACGCCGCGUGCGGGAUGACGGCCUUCGGGUUGUAAACCGCUUUCGCCUGUGACGAAGCGUGAGUGACGGUAAUGGGUAAAGAAGCACCGGCUAACUACGUGCCAGCAGCCGCGGUGAUACGUAGGGUGCGAGCGUUGUCCGGAUUUAUUGGGCGUAAAGGGCUCGUAGGUGGUUGAUCGCGUCGGAAGUGUAAUCUUGGGGCUUAACCCUGAGCGUGCUUUCGAUACGGGUUGACUUGAGGAAGGUAGGGGAGAAUGGAAUUCCUGGUGGAGCGGUGGAAUGCGCAGAUAUCAGGAGGAACACCAGUGGCGAAGGCGGUUCUCUGGGCCUUUCCUGACGCUGAGGAGCGAAAGCGUGGGGAGCGAACAGGCUUAGAUACCCUGGUAGUCCACGCUGUAAACGGUGGGUACUAGGUGUGGGGUCCAUUCCACGGGUUCCGUGCCGUAGCUAACGCUUUAAGUACCCCGCCUGGGGAGUACGGCCGCAAGGCUAAAACUCGAAGGAAUUGACGGGGCCCCGCACAAGCGGCGGAGCAUGCGGAUUAAUUCGAUGCAACGCGUAGAACCUUACCUGGGUUUGACAUGGAUCGGGAGUGCUCAGAGAUGGGUGUGCCUCUUUUGGGGUCGGUUCACAGGUGGUGCAUGCCUGUCGUCAGCUCGUGUCGUGAGCUGUUGGGUUAAGUCCCGCAACGAGCGCAACCCUUGUUCACUGUUGCCAGCACGUUAUGGUGGGGACUCAGUGGAGACCGCCGGGGUCAACUCGGAGGAAGGUGGGGAUGACGUCAAGUCAUCAUGCCCCUUAUGUCCAGGGCUUCACGCAUGCUACAAUGGCUGGUACAGAGAGUGGCGAGCCUGUGAGGGUGAGCGAAUCUCGGAAAGCCGGUCUCAGUUCGGAUUGGGGUCUGCAACUCGACCUCAUGAAGUCGGAGUCGCUAGUAAUCGCAGAUCAGCAACGCUGCGGUGAAUACGUUCCCGGG